rnacentral:lncRNA from 1 species
CUUAAAUAUGGUAAUCGAGAGAAGCUAGGUUGAGAAAGAACAACAUGAUAGAAAAUGUAGAGAGAAUUGAUAAUGUCUCUGAUGUAUUCUUUAGAUUACAAUGCACCCUUUUAUAGUGUAAGGGUGAAUCAAAUGUCAAACUACAAUCUCUUAAAAUCAACUACAAUCUCUUAAAAUCAAAAGCUAAAGAUUUUAUCGUUGAAUUAUUAUUCAUGAUCUUUGAAUAAUAAUCUUUGACUUAUGCAAAUGGUUAUUUUCAACA